UAGGGAAUAUUGGGCAAUGGGGGAAACCCUGACCCAGCAACGCCGCGUGAGGGAAGAAGGUUUUCGGAUUGUAAACCUCUGUCCUAUGUGACGAAGGAAGUGACGGUAACAUAGGAGGAAGCCCCGGCUAACUACGUGCCAGCAGCCGCGGUAAUACGUAGGGGGCGAGCGUUGUCCGGAAUUACUGGGUGUAAAGGGUGCGUAGGCGGAUUUGCAAGUCAGACGUGAAAACUAUCGGCUUAACCGGUAGCCUGCGUUUGAAACUGUGAGUCUUGAGUGGUGAAGAGGGAAACGGAAUUCCCGGUGUAGAGGUGAAAUUCGUAGAUAUCGGGAGGAACACCAGUGGCGAAGGCGGUUUCCUGGCCUGAUACUGACGCUGAGGCGCGAAAGCGUGGGGAGCAAACA
rnacentral:rRNA from 1 species